CCAAACGAUCAUGCAUUCAGUAUAAAUACGUACAUGGUAUUGACAUCCCAAUAUUUAGUGGGAAGUUUCCAGGUAUCAUCCGCUAGCGACAGUCUACUGACAAAUCCAGACAUGCAUUGGAAGGAUGCUGAUGUGGAGGACACAGGAACACCUGAUCCCAGAACUGUGGCAUUUCAUUCGGGGUGACAACCUGGCUUUCAGUUGAUAUGGGACUCUAUUAUUCGGAAAACUGCAGAUUUUAUGAAGCUGUCUUUGACAGAAGAUUUGGUUUUCUCCAUCUGUGUUGCCACCAACCAUUAUGCUGAGAUAGUCAUAACUAGGGGGAAGGGUUGCCAUAUACUUCCCAAAGAAGUUUGCAGCCUCUCACUGAAGAGGAACUGUACAGGUAUUACUAGUUUUAAAAACCGAUAUUGUGGCAGUGAUUUCCAGUUUCAAAAGAAUAAUAAAAUGCAUAGUAAAAAGAUUACCUUUACCAAAAUUAAUCUGGCUGUGAAUGUACAUGUAACUCAUUUAUUAA